rnacentral:rRNA from 1 species
AACGAACGCUGGCGGCAUGCCUAACACAUGCCAGUCGAACGGGACCAUCGGGUCUAGUCGCGCACGGGUGCGUGACGCGUGGGAAUCUACCCUCAGGUUCGGCAUAACUCAGAGGAAUAUGAGCUGAUACCGGAGGAUGACGUACGUCCAAAGAUUUGUCGCCUGAGGAUGAGCCAAGGUAGGCUUAGGUAGUUGGUGAGGUAAAGGCUUACCAAGGCGAGGAUGGGUAAAUGGUCUGAGAGGCUGAUCAGCCACACUGGAACUGAGAAACGGCCCAGACUCCUACGGGAGGCAGCAGUGGGGAAUAUUGGGCGAUGGGCGAGAGCCUGAUACAGCAAUGCCGCGUGUGUGAUGAAGGUCUUCGGAUGGGAAAGCACUUUAAGUUGGGAGGAAGGGAAGUAAGUUUAUACCUUGCUGUUUUGACGUUACCGACAGAAUAAGCUCCGGCUAACUUCGUG